rnacentral:rRNA from 1 species
AUACGGAGGGAGCAAGCGUUGCUCGGAAUCACUGGGCGUAAAGGGCGUGUAGGCGGGACAGCAAGUCGGGUGUGAAAGCCCUGGGCUCAACCCAGGAAGGGCAUUCGAUACUACUGUUCUUUAGUAUGACAGAGGAAAGCGGAAUUCCCGGUGUAGCGGUGAAAUGCGUAGAUAUCGGGAAGAACACCUGUGGCGAAGGCGGCUUUCUGGGUCACAACUGACGCUGAGGCGCGAAAGCUAGGGGAGCGAACGGGAUUAGAAACCCCGGUAGUCC